GGUCAAGCUACAAAGGGCGCAUGGUGAAUGCCUUGGCACUAGGAGCCGAAGAAGGACGUGAUAAGCUGCGAUAAGCCUUGGGUAGUCGCAAAUAGGCAGAGAUCCAGGGAUUUCCGAAUGAGGGAACUCACAUGGGUAACCCCAUGUAUCAUGCACUGAAUACAUAGGUGUAUGAGGGUAAACCCGGGGAACUGAAACAUCUAAGUACCCGGAGGAAGAGAAAGAAAAAUCGAUUUCCUAAGUAGCGGCGAGCGAACGGGAAAGAGCCCAAACCAGAAACUUGUUUCUGGGGUUGAGGAUAGAUCAUAAAAGAAGAGGUAUCUUAAUCGAAAAGGGCUGGAACGCCCUACCAUAGAAGGUAAUAGUCCUGUAGAUGAAAAGAGAA
rnacentral:ncRNA from 1 species